UCCAGACUCCUACGGGAGGCAGCAGUGGGGAAUAUUGCACAAUGGGGGGAACCCUGAUGCAGCGACGCCGCGUGGGUGAAGGAGCACCUCGGUGCGUAAAGCCCUAUCGGCAGGGAAGAAACAGACGGUACCUGUCGAAUAAGCCACGGCUAACUACGUGCCAGCAGCCGCGGUAAUACGUAGGUGGCAAGCGUUGUCCGGAUUUACUGGGUGUAAAGGGCGUGUAGCCGGGCUGACAAGUCAGAUGUGAAAUCCGGGGGCUCAACCCCCGAACUGCAUUUGAAACUGUUGGUCUUGAGUAUCGGAGAGGCAGGCGGAAUUCCUAGUGUAGCGGUGAAAUGCGUAGAUAUUAGGAGGAACACCAGUGGCGAAGGCGGCUUACUGGACUGUAACUGACGUUGAGGCUCGAAAGCGUGGGGAGCAAACAGGAUUAGAUACCCUAGUA
rnacentral:rRNA from 1 species